ensembl:lncRNA
UGUCACUGCACGAUAAUCAUGCGCAUUGAUCACCAUGUUAAAAGUUCCUAUUCCUUCUCUUUACGCAUCAUUUCAGUCUGCUUAACAUCAUUGCACCUUUCCAAAGCCCAUCCCGUGUAGCCUGUGCCUCUGCCAGUUCUGCAGUGGAGCAUGCAGCGUUAUUCUGCUAGGUUAAGUGCAGCACAAUCUAAUUACUCUAAUGUCGGUUGCGGUCUUAAAUCACACUUAUUGGGUAAGUGCACCCGUUUGUCUGUCCUUCAGAAGGGAAGCCGCUCUGCUCUGCUCUAGGACUAAUUAUUCCAACUGGAUAUGAGCAAUUGCACUUAUUGGCUAGGGCAUGGCACCGGCUGCCUGCGCUUCCAUUCGUUGCCAGUGAAGUCUGCGUGCGAUUGGGUCCUGGGAAGGAGUGGGAGGGGCGUUCUCUCUUUCCUCUCUGUGCUGGAGCAUGUGUGGAUGUGAGCACUCUUUUCUCUCCUAUUAUUUGAGUGGCUGCAGGUACUGGUGUCUGCCUCUUUGCCUCUGUGCCAGAGGGAUAAAGAGGGAAAGAAAGAGGACUAGUGCUUCAUAUCCCCCCUUUGGCCUCCCCGUCUCCCUGCUCCCUGUCACUCCAUCCUUCCUUCCUCCCUCCCGGACCACCCGUCAGCGGCUGGAUCAACCCGCCCGGACCCUCCUCCCACAACCCCUUUGACUAUCCUCACUUCACCGUCCCGUCUUGUGAACUGAGUGCAGGAAUUUCUGGUUACUGGGAGCUGAAGACUGGAUUUGGCAGUGCAGUCACAGAUAAUCUUGGUUUGGAAGAGCAGAAGAGAACCUUUGAAUACAAAUUUAGAAGUAAACUUCCUGUACAGAGAAAGAGUAAGGAGUUGCUCAGGGUGAAGUACACUGGACAGACGGAACUCUCCCAAGUCUUCUGGAAGUGUGGCAGCACGUGGUCACAUGACCUGGAAGAGAAAACCCAAGAGACUUCUGGGAUCCCUCUCUGGUCAGUGACACCAUUUUAUGAAUUCAAAACACCUUUUUUUUUUUUUUUUAUUAAAACCUCCCACACAUGGUGA